AUCUGUUAUUCCAUUCUUCAGCUAUCGUUGGCUCCUUUUGACAGCGAGAACCGUCGACCGCUCCUUCACCGCUGCUGCGUUUACCCUCUAUCUUCCUUCCUCAUACUCAAUCCACUACUGCUUUAAUUCAUAUGUUGUUCUGUCAACCAAAAAGCCAGAGCCCUGUUUCUCCAACUCUCUCCUACAGCAGAACCACCGCCACCAUCAGAGCAAGGAGAACGUUACCCCCAAUGAUUACUU